UACGAAGGGGGCUAGCGUUGUUCGGAAUUACUGGGCGUAAAGCGCACGUAGGCGGAUACUUAAGUCAGGGGUGAAAUCCCGGGGCUCAACCCCGGAACUGCCUUUGAUACUGGGUAUCUCGAGUCCGGAAGAGGUGAGUGGAAUUCCGGAGUGUAGAGGUGAAAUUCGUAGAUAUUCGGAGGAACACCAGUGCGAAGGCGGCUCACUGGUCCGGUACUGACGCUGAGGUGCGAAAGCGUGGGGAGCAAACAGG
rnacentral:rRNA from 1 species